AGUGAACGCUGGCGGUAGGCCUAACACAUGCAAGUCGAACGGCAGCACAGUAAGAGCUUGCUCUUACGGGUGGCGAGUGGCGGACGGGUGAGGAAUACAUCGGAAUCUACUUUUUCGUGGGGGAUAACGUAGGGAAACUUACGCUAAUACCGCAUACGUCCUACGGGUGAUAGCAGGGGAUCUUCGGACCUUGCGCGAUUGAAUGAGCCGAUGUCGGAUUAGCUAGUUGGCGGGGUAAAGGCCCACCAAGGCGACGAUCCGUAGCUGGUCUGAGAGGAUGAUCAGCCACACUGGAACUGAGACACGGUCCAGACUCCUACGGGAGGCAGCAGUGGGGAAUAUUGGACAAUGGGCGCAAGCCUGAUCCAGCCAUACCGCGUGGGUGAAGAAGGCCUUCGGGUUGUAAAGCCCUUUUGUUGGGAAAGAAAAGCAGCAGGUUAAUACCCCGCUGUUCUGACGGUACCCAAAGAAUAAGCACCGGCUAACUUCGUG
rnacentral:rRNA from 1 species